UAGUGCCUACGGGGCGCAGCAGUAGGGAAUAUUGCUCAAUGGGGGAAACCCUGAAGCAGCAACGCCGCGUGGAGGAUGAAGGUUUUCGGAUUGUAAACUCCUUUUGUUAGAGAAGAUAAUGACGGUAUCUAACGAAUAAGCACCGGCUAACUCCGUGCCAGCAGCCGCGGUAAUACGGAGGGUGCAAGCGUUACUCGGAAUCACUGGGCGUAAAGAGCGCGUAGGCGGGAUAGCAAGUCAGAUGUGAAAUGCCGAGGCUUAACCUCGGAGCUGCGAUUGAAACUGUUAUUCUUGAGUAUCGGAGG
rnacentral:rRNA from 1 species